rnacentral:rRNA from 1 species
GGAUCCAGACUUUGAUUCUGGCUCAGGAUGAACGCUAGCGACAGGCCUAACACAUGCAAGUCGAGGGGUAACAGGGAAGCUUGCUUCCGCUGACGACCGGCGCACGGGUGCGUAACGCGUAUGAAACCUGCCUUAUACCGGGGGAUAGCCCGAAGAAAUUCGGAUUAAUACCCCAUAACACUACAAAAUCGCAUGAUUUAGUAGUUAAAACUCCGGUGGUAUAAGAUGGUCAUGCGUGACAUUAGCUAGUUGGUAAGGUAACGGCUUACCAAGGCGACGAUGUCUAGGGGUUCUGAGAGGAAGGUCCCCCACACUGGUACUGAGACACGGACCAGACUCCUACGGGAGGCAGCAGUGAGGAAUAUUGGUCAAUGGACGCAAGUCUGAACCAGCCAUGUCGCGUGCAGGAAGACUGCCCUAUGGGUUGUAAACUGCUUUUAUACGGGAAGAAAUAUAGUUACGUGUAAUUAUUUGCCGGUACCGUAUGAAUAAGCAUCGGCUAACUCCGUGCCAGCAGCCGCGG